AUGUCUCCCAAGCACAAAACCUUUGCACACAAAAUGCCUCAGGUAACUCCCUGUUCAGGUGUGUUAAAUGUUCAGGUGACCACAUCGAGUGUUCCCGCUGUUUUUCAUUGUUGUGCCCCAGAAAAGGUGCCUCCAACAAAAUGUAUGAAUGUACAUGUUUCCAUGUUACAAUCGAUAAAGAGUGUUGUUUAUUCUCAAACAGUCACAAAUGCUCAACCUGCAGGCAGAAUGAGCCAGGUCAGGCAGGUGAUGCAGUCCCCUGCAGACACACUGGGGGGAGACAACGCCCCGCCAACGGUGCUGCAGGUCAGCCGGCUGGCUGCUCACUUCCCUCAGUGGCGCGCUUGCGCCCCCUCCCUGUGGGUGCUGCGAACCAUUGCCAUGGGUUACCGGUUGAAGUUCCAGGUCAAGCCGCCUCGUUUCCAAAGAGUUGUAAACACGACUGUCAACACCGAGGCGGCCAUGAUACUCAGAGAGGAAAUAAAGGCGCUAUUGCAGAAAAGAGCAAUACGAGUGGUCCCCGCUUCGGAGACAGACAAAGGUUGGUACAGCCGUUAUUUUGUUGUUCCGAAAAAAGGGGGAGGGCUUCGUCCCAUCCUUGACCUGCGAGUCUUGAACACGUCUCUACGAAUGUACAGGUUCAUGAUGCUAACACUCAGACAGCUCUUGAAUGCGGUCAGCCCGGGAGAUUGGUUUUCAACAAUCGAUCUUGCAGAUGCUUAUUUUCAUGUGGCUAUACACCCGAAACACAGGCAGUUUCUGAGGUUUGCAUUUGAGGGCGUAGCCUACGAAUACCUAGUGCUGCCCUUCUGGCUGUCGCUUGCUCCUUACCUUUACGAAAUGUGCCGAGGCAGCGUUAGCGCCCCUCAGAGAGAGAGGCAUCCGCAUCUUAGCCUACCUAGACGACUGGGCUCUCGUAGCUUGCUCCAGAGAGCAGGUGGAGACACAGCUGUCACUGGUUCUGUCACACAUUCAGACACUGGGGUUCAGUGCGCAUGCGCUAACCAGCGUGCAGCCUGUUACAGUUGCUCCUGCUUUUUCUCUUAG
rnacentral:lncRNA from 1 species